rnacentral:tRNA from 1 species
GUCGGGAUAGCUCAGCUGGUAGAGCAGAGGACUGGAAAUC